UUAUAGCAUCGCAGCUUAAAUGCAGUCGAGCGAGAAAGCCUUCGGGUGAGUAUAGCGGCGGACGGGUGAGUAAUGCGUGGGAAUCUGCCUGGUAGUGGGGGACAACAGUUGGAAACGACUGCUAAUACCGCAUACGCCCUACGGGGGAAAGCAGGGGAUCUUCGGACCUUGCGCUAUCAGAUGAGCCCACGUCAGAUUAGCUAGUUGGUGGGGUAAUGGCCCACCAAGGCGACGAUCUGUAGCUGGUCUGAGAGGAUGAUCAGCCACACUGGGACUGAGACACGGCCCAGACUCCUACGGGAGGCAGCAGUGGGGAAUAUUGGACAAUGGGCGCAAGCCUGAUCCAGCCAUGCCGCGUGUGUGAAGAAGGCCUUAGGGUUGUAAAGCACUUUAAGCGAGGAGGAAAGGUUAGUGGUUAAUACCUACUAGCUGUGACGUUACUCGCAGAAUAAGCACCGGCUAACUCCGUGCCAGCAGCCGCGGUAAUACGGAGGGUGCAAGCGUUAAUCGGAAUUACUGGGCGUAAAGCGCACGUAGGCGGUUAUUUAAGCUAGAUGUGAAAGCCCCGGGCUCAACCUGGGAACUGCAUUUAGAACUGGAUAACUAGAGUAUGGUAGAGGAUAGUGGAAUUCCAGGUGUAGCGGUGAAAUGCGUAGAUAUCUGGAGGAACAUCAGUGGCGAAGGCGACUGUCUGGACCAAUACUGACGCUGAGGUGCGAAAGCGUGGGUAGCAAACAGGAUUAGAUACCCUGGUAGUCCACGCCGUAAACGAUGUCUACUAGCCGUUGGGUUCCUUGAGGACUUAGUGGCGCAGCUAACGCUUUAAGUAGACCGCCUGGGGAGUACGGCCGCAAGGUUAAAACUCAAAUGAAUUGACGGGGGCCCGCACAAGCGGUGGAGCAUGUGGUUUAAUUCGAUGCAACGCGAAGAACCUUACCAGGGUCUUGACAUCCAGAUAAUUUAGCAGAGAUGCUUUAGUGCCUUCGGGAAAUCUGAGACAGGUGCUGCAUGGCCUGUCGUCAGCUCGUGUCGUGAGAUGUUGGGUUUAAGUCCCGUAACGAGCGCAACCCUUGUCUUUAGUUGCCAUCAGGUAAUGCUGGGACUUCUAAGGAGAACUGCCGUGAACAAACCGGAAGUAGUGGGGACGACGUCAGGUCAUCAUGUCCUACGACCUGGCUUAACACACGUGCUACAUGGAAGUCGAGCUGCAAGCAGCAAUGUGGGAAGCCUAAUCCCCUUUAAC
rnacentral:rRNA from 1 species